rnacentral:rRNA from 1 species
UACGUAGGGGGCUAGCGUUGUCCGGAAUCAUUGGGCGUAAAGAGCGUGUAGGCGGUCCGGUAAGUCCGCUGUGAAAGUCGGGGGCUCAACCCUCGAAUGCCGGCGGAUACUGUCGGGCUAGAGUGCGGAAGAGGCGAGUGGAAUUCCUGGUGUAGCGGUGAAAUGCGCAGAUAUCAGGAGGAACACCAAUAGCGAAGGCAGCUUGCUGGGACGGUACUGACGCUAAGGCGCGAAAGCGUGGGGAGCGAACAGG